ensembl:lncRNA
AUGGUCUCCGCAGUCCUCCCCGCUCCCGCCCCGCCCUCGGCGGAGGCCGCUCUACCCGCCGCGUCUCGACGGCUCCUCCCCUUCUGCGCGCUGAGCAGGGGCCGCUACUUCCGGCGGCGCUCUGCGCUUCCUGUCGCGUCUCGGUGGUUCCGGCGCGAGGGCAGCGGCGGCGGUGAAAGUCACUUUGACGGGAACGGAGGCGGCUGCCAAGGGGGCGGACGCCACCCCCUGCCAGUGGUACUACCGCGUCUACAAGUCCAUCUGCCCCACUUCCUGGGUGAGUGGCCCCGGCGCGGUGACAUCCACCCCACCCCAGGGUGGCCCUUGGGUCCCCUGGGUGGCCUCGGGUCCUCCAGGUGGCCCCUGUGGCCUUUGUGGUGGCCUCACGGCCCUUGGGUGCCCCGGGGUGUUUCCACAUCGUUUCCAUGUCACUUGGGUUCCUUGUUUCUUCCCCGUGGCCAGCAUGGCCUUCAUGGUGGCCCUCGUGGCUCAUGGGUGUCCCGUGGUGGCCUCAUGGCCCCUUGGUGUCCCGGGGUGGCCUCGUGGCCCUUGGGUGCCCCGGGGCGUUUCCACAUCGUUUCGACGUCGCUUGGGUUCCUUGUUUCGCCCUCGUGGCCCUCAAGGUGGCCUUCGUGGCGGCCUCGUGGCCCCUGGGUGGCCCUCGGGUCCCCUGGGGUGGCCUCGUGGCCCUUGGGUGCCCCGGGGUGGCCUCGCGGCCCUUGGGUGCCCCGGGGUGGCCUCGUGGCCCUUGGGUGCCCCGGGGUACUUCCAUGUCGUUUCGAUGUCACUUGGGUCCCUGUUUUCUUCCCCGUGGCCCUCGUGGUGGCCACCGUGGCCUUCAUGGUGGCCACUGUGGCCUUCAUGGUGGCCCUUGGGUGCCCUGUGGUGGCCUCGUGGCCCUUUGGUGCCCCGGGGUGGCCUCAUGGCCCUUGGGUGCCCCAUGGUGUUUCCACGUCGUUUGUAUGCCACUUAGGACCCUUGUUACAUCCUGGUGGCCCUUGUGGUGGCCCUCAUGGUGGCCUCAUGGGCCUCGGGUCCCACAGGUGGCCCUUGGGUGACCCGGGGGGGGGGGGUCCUCAGGUCCCCCAGGUGGCCCUUGGGUGCCCCGUGGUGGUUCUACGUCACCUCGAUGUCGCUUGGGUUCCUUGAUUCUUCCUCGUGGUGGCCCUCGUGGCCUUCACGGUGGCCCUCGUGGCCCUUGGGUCCCCCGUGGUGGCCUCGUGGCCCUUGGGUGCCGCGCUUCAUCCCCGUGUCCCCCCGCGGUGUCCCUGUGGUGUCCCCGCGUCCUUCAGGACCUCCGUGGUGUCCCCACGGCCCCCCCCCCCCCUCGGUGUCCCUCUGGUGUCCCCACGUCCUUCAGGUCCCCCGCAACGUCACCGUGGGGUCCCCGGGCCCCCCGUGGUGUCCCCACCAGCACGAGGUCCUCGUGUCCCCCCCGUCCCCCCCCAACGUCCCCAGGGGGCCACCACGUCCCACGUGUCCCCUUUUUGGGGUCACCACGUCCCUUUUUGGGGUCACCACGUCCCUUUGGGGGGUCACCACGUCCCC